GAUGAACGCUGGCGGCGUGCCUAAUACAUGCAAGUCGAGCGAACAGACGAGGAGCUUGCUCCUCUGACGUUAGCGGCGGACGGGUGAGUAACACGUGGAUAACCUACCUAUAAGACUGGGAUAACUUCGGGAAACCGGAGCUAAUACCGGAUAAUAUAUUGAACCGCAUGGUUCAAUAGUGAAAGACGGUUUUGCUGUCACUUAUAGAUGGAUCCGCGCCGCAUUAGCUAGUUGGUAAGGUAACGGCUUACCAGGGCGACGAUGCGUAGCCGACCUGAGAGGGUGAUCGGCCACACUGGAACGGAGACACGGUCCAGACUCCUACGGGAGGCAGCAGUAGGGAAUCUGCCGCAAUGGGCGAAAGCCUGACGGAGCAACGCCGCGGGAGUGAUGAAGGUCUUCGGAUCGUAAAACUCUGUUAUUAGGGAAGAACAAAUGUGUAAGUAACUAUGCACGUCUGGACGGUACCUAAUCAGAAAGCCACGGCUAACUACGU
rnacentral:rRNA from 1 species